GCGCACUGUACGUAACCUGGUUCAAUGUUUAGUAUGAACUAGUCGUUCCAUUCCAGUGCUACAGUGAACCUCCCGGUGAGCCAGGGGAGCGAUGUGCGUUUUGUGCUCGCUCGCCUGUUCACUCGCCGGGAACAUGU